CGUGACUGGGUGCAGACCAAAUUCAAACAUGUGAGAUUGUGUUAAUGUGCAUUUCUAAGGCUCUGAAUGAAUUUCUAAGCCACCUAUGCUGUUAAUUUUCUUUUAAAAUAAUUACUUAAAAGAACAACCCUGUGAGGUAACAGUAUUAUGACCUCCAUUUUACAUUACCUCAGAAGGAACUCAAGCACAGAGGAACUGAGUGGUUUAUACACAGUCAAGCAGCAACAAUAGACCCAUAAUCUGAACCCAGUUACUCUACCAACCCUAAGGCAACCAUUCUUCGGAUUUCUAUCACCAUAGAACAGAAGUCCCUGGUAAGUACACCAAGUACUUGAGAAGACAUUUCAUCAGCCCUAAGGAGAACAGAAAACUGUAAGGCAGAAGAGUUACCGCUCAGGCCUUGAAAAAUU